rnacentral:rRNA from 1 species
AGUGAACGCUGGCGGCGUGCCUAAUACAUGCAAGUCGAACGGUAACAGGAAGUCGCUUGCUACUUUGCUGAUUAGUGGCGCACGGGUGAGUAAUGCAUAGGUCAUGUGCCCCAUAGUCUGGGAUAGCCACUGGAAACGGUGAUUAAUACUGGAUACUCCCGAGCGGGGAAAGUUUUUCGCUAUGGGAUCAUCCUAUGUCCUAUCAGCUUGUUGGUGAGGUAAUGGCUCACCAAGGCUAUGACGGGUAUCCGGCCUGAGAGGGUGAACGGACACACUGGAACUGAGACACGGUCCAGACUCCUACGGGAGGCAGCAGUAGGGAAUAUUGCUCAAUGGGGGAAACCCUGAAGCAGCAACGCCGCGUGGAGGAUGAAGGUCUUCGGAUUGUAAACUCCUUUUCUAAGAGAAGAUUAUGACGGUAUCUUAGGAAUAAGCACCGGCUAACUCCGUG